GACGAACGCUGGCGGCGUGCUUAACACAUGCAAGUCGAACGAAGAGCGAUGGAAGCUUGCUUCUAUCAAUCUUAGUGGCGAACGGGUGAGUAACGCGUAAUCAACCUGCCCUUCAGAGGGGGACAACAGUUGGAAACGACUGCUAAUACCGCAUACGAUCUAAUCUCGGCAUCGAGGAUAGAUGAAAGGUGGCCUCUACAUGUAAGCUAACACUGAAGGAGGGGAUUGCGUCUGAUUAGCUAGUUGGAGGGGUAACGGCCCACCAAGGCGAUGAUCAGUAGCCGGUCUGAGAGGAUGAACGGCCACAUUGGGACUGAGACACGGCCCAGACUCCUACGGGAGGCAGCAGUGGGGAAUCUUCCGCAAUGGACGAAAGUCUGACGGAGCAACGCCGCGUGAGUGAUGACGGCCUUCGGGUUGUAAAGCUCUGUUAAUCGGGACGAAAGGCCUUCUUGCGAAUAGUGAGAAGGAUUGACGGUACCGGAAUAGAAAGCCACGGCUAACUACGU
rnacentral:rRNA from 1 species